rnacentral:lncRNA from 10 species
UAUGAGGAAUUGUUUCCCAUACACUGGCACCAUUGCUAGCAGAUCCAGGUGGAUCAGCCUCUAGGUGGCUUACUUGGAUGCUGAUACUGGCAGUAAUGACCUAGGUAGGUGUGAAGAUAUUCAUCAUGAAGAAAAGAUUUACUUUUUACCCUUAAAAAAUCACAACCUACCAGCCGGGCAUAGUGGUUCACGCCUGUAAUCCUAGCACUUUGGGAGGCCAAGGUGGGCAGAUCACCUGAGGUCAGGAGUUCAAGACCAGCCUGGCCAACAUGGCGAAACCCCGUCUCUACUAAAAAUACAAAAAUUAGCCGGGCAUAGUGAUGCAUGCCUGUAAUCCUA